AAUAAACGCUAGGUUUCUGUGUCCAAUAUUUGACCGUCCGUCUUAUUUGAAAAAAUUAUAGAAAGAAAUAAAAAAGACAAGUCACACAUAAAGUAUUAAUCAUGUUUUAUCAUCUAACAAUAAUAAAAAUACUAAUUAUAAAAAAAAUUUAUAUAAGACAGACAGUUAAAUGUUGAACACGGAAACCCAGUGUUUGUCUUUUU
rnacentral:pre_miRNA from 1 species